rnacentral:siRNA from 1 species
AUCAAGUUUAUAUAGAUGGUCU